rnacentral:rRNA from 1 species
CCUACGGGUGGCAGCAGUGAGGAAUAUUGGUCAAUGGGCGCGAGCCUGAACCAGCCAAGUAGCGUGAAGGAUGACUGCCCUACGGGUUGUAAACUUCUUUUAUAAAGGAAUAAAGUGAGGCACGUGUGCCUUUUUGCAUGUACUUUAUGAAUAAGGAUCGGCUAACUCCGUGCCAGCAGCCGCGGUAAUACGGAGGAUCCGAGCGUUAUCCGGAUUUAUUGGGUUUAAAGGGAGCGUAGAUGGGUUGUUAAGUCAGUUGUGAAAGUUUGCGGCUCAACCGUAAAAUUGCAAUUGAUACUGGCAGUCUUGAGUACAGUUGAGGUAGGCGGAAUGCGUGGUGUAGCGGUGAAAUGCUUAGAUAUCACGAAGAACUCCGAUUGCGAAGGCAGCUCACUAAACUGCAACUGACACUGAGGCUCGAAAGUGUGGGUAUCAAACAGGAUUAGAUACCCUUGUAGUC